rnacentral:lncRNA from 1 species
GGCCGUCAAGACCUCUAUUAUAAGAUAAUAUAAUGCAAAAGAAAGUAUGCAAUCGGUACUUUGAAUGUACUGAGUAUGUGACAUAAGAAUAACUGAUCUAAACUGAAUAUGGUAUAUAUAACAUGAUAAACUAAUGCAAGGCCAAGUAAUGAAUAUAUGUUGAAUAACGAACUGAAUAACUGAAUAUAAGGUUAUGCAAGAAUCCUAAUCUAAACUGCAAACUAUGGA